UUGCACUGUUCGUAACCUGUUAACAGUAUCUUUCUGAUAAUGGGUUCCAUUCCAGUGCUACAUGAUACCCCAAGAUAAUAGAAGGCUGGCUGUUUUGUUUGCCUGUCCCCUUUAUUUUGGGGGACAUAA